rnacentral:rRNA from 1 species
AGGUGCGAUCAUACCGGCACUAAUGCACUGGAUCCCAUCAGAAGUCCGAAGUUAAGCGUGCAUGGGCGAGAAUAGUACUAAGAUGGGCCUUGUCACAGGACUUU